UGACCUUGGUGACCUCUCCUGUGACCUUCCAUCUUACUGCUCCAGCAUCUUUCAGCCGGACAGCUAAUCAGCUCCCCGACCCCGGCCCGGUCCCCACCAACACCGACUGGCGGAGGCUCCUUGCUUCUUGCCUGGGUUUCUGCCCAAACCUCCUAAUCGGCCUCAUUUUCUGUUUUGCUAUGGCACCCUCAGUCCUGACGAAAAUGUAAAAACAAACCAAACAAAGAUAAGAACAACUGUCAAAAAAAGAAAGAAAAGAAAGUUUAGGCUCUACCAGCCACGGCCAGUAGAGGUCACAAAAGCGCCUGUUACAGUCACCGAAACACCUGAAUGCUGUCCUUGGACAUUGUUACGCCUUAUGCAGUAAUGACCGCAGACUACGUUUUAUGAAGGCACUUCUCAAAGCGGAAUUACAACUUGUCACAGCAGAGCCCAGAUUCUGAUUGGCCAGACUUUAUUAACUACAUGAUAGACUCUCAGAAAAACAUCUCUCCCAUUGUCAUCUUGGAUAUCGAAGCACCUUAACAGAGCCCAGUCCUGGCUCUGCUGUGACUUUAUUUGGCUUCACAUCUCUCUGCAAGGUGACAAUAUCAGAUUAACCAGGACCACAAGAAGCACGGAUCCACUUUUCACACUAACGUCAAUGGUGAAAUUGAAGAGCAGCUCCACCCCCCUCAGCUGGUUAUUGAUGGUGUAUAUGACCGUGAUGUUGGAUGCUGCGGUGGGGACAGGACUAGGAUAGCUGGGUAGAGUGGCUUGCACCUCAGGAUCUGUGAAGGGCGAAGAGGCCACAUUUGUUAAAGAUUAUGGGGUUUGUAUCAAAGGUGCAAAAUCUGUUGUCAGCAACCCAACCCAGAAAACAUUUCAAGAAAUGGCAAUGCCUUGUGGGUUGUUCUGAGAAACUGGUGUGAUCUGUGAAGUUCCCAUUUCCAUUCUAGGGAACUGAUCGUAGCUGAAGAAAUGACAGCUAGUUUUACAAUGAACAAUUAUUUUGUUAAAAUAAUUUGUAACCUAAAGGGAAGAUUGAGAGCCCUAAGUUAUAUAUUUUACAUGGUAGUCACUGUUCAGUUGUUGUGGAUUUUUUUUGUUAACCCUAAGGAUGCGGAAGCAAAGGUUGUACACUUCAGACUAUUGAACAGAGUACCUGGGCAAUUACUGUGGAAUCCUGGGCGGGACUCCAUGGUCACCUGGCUAAAGCUGGCAAAUCACUGGGAAGCAGCCUAAGGUUAGGGGAAUGUGGCUGUGUCUGGUAUGACUGGGAUUCGGUUACUUGAUUGGGGUCCCUGUGGAUUCUGCUCUGAGAUAGACAAGGAGCUUAUUAAUCUCUGCUUAUCUUAGGAAGUCCAUGCAACAUAAGAUGAAUAGUACUUUAUAUUCGUAUUUGAGUGGAAAGAAGAGUUGGAGGAAUCUGUACCAAAGACUGGUUGUGUCUGGAGUGGUAGAAUUUUUAUGCAGGACUCCCACUUUCUAAAUGCAUAUUUCCGCAUUGUCUCUCUGUAUUAUAUUUGUAAUUGGGCAAAAUAAAGAUAUUUCAAAUAAAAAGGCUGUGUGCCAGGGUUCUACCCCAUCCGUUUGGUGUGCUGUGAGCACCAAGGAUUCAUAUUUAGAUUUCCAAGACUUGGCUGAAAUGUUGACUCUGUUCUUUUACUAAGUCUCUCAGACAAAGUUGAUGGUUGGUUACACUUUCUUUGCUUUUGUAUAUGCCUUCUAUUUCUAUUUAAUAGUUACUUCAUUUCUCCAGAUAUUGUCAUUUUUGCCUACCUAUUUGUCUACCUAUUUGGCUUUGUAAAGAGAAG